CUCAAUGCCAAAGGUUUAGAGGCUGUUAGAGAAUCUUCAUCGCUGUGGUUCCUUGUCGGUAUUUUCACUAGAAAAAAGUAUGUCUUAGCUAUGAAUGAGGGUUUUGUUCCUUUGGUAAUGUGGAGGAACUUCUACGUCACGUGUCUUCAUGGAGAAGCACUGGUGUUAAUAUUAUCAUUGAAAUCAUCCAUACGAUUGCAUCCUUUGAUGAUAAAAAUGGUACAGGAAUUUAUGGAAAAUCUAAUGAGGGCCAUGGUUUCCUUUUAGGCCCAUCAUGUUCAGCUACAGAUAAACAAAACACAAAAACCAAUGAAAUUCCAAACUGAGUUCACAAUGAAAUUUCAGUUAAUUAACACAACAAACUAACAUCAUCACACUUCAUAAUAAAUUUAACUUCUUAUCUCUCAUUAACUUCAAUUCUAAGUUGAAUUCUUAUUUUUCUAACAACUUCUAAUCCUAACAUAUUUCCUAACUAACCAAGUGCAACUAAAUUAACUCAUGAGCUAACAAACACAUAACUGAUACUCACUGAAUUUUCUAACUGUUAUUAGUAGAACUUAACAGAGUGAAGUUCCAACUAAUUUCCCCUUCAAUAAACUAACUUUCUAACUGUGCCCUAACUGGUAACCACCAUUGCCUGAAACUCUUCCCCAAUCGGUUAGAAACUCUCCUCUACAUAACCUUCAAUCACUCUUCAAUCCACAUCAAUCAUCAUUCCACAAAAUCACUUCAAAUCAUCAACAAUCUAAAAAUUUCCACAACUCUCUCUCAAUCUAUCCUCUAAAUUUAUCUAUCUCAAUCCAUUCGCUUAUAGAAUUCUCUCUCUCUGCAAUCACACAUAUAUAGAGCAAUAUCCGCAGUCACAAUCAAGAGGAACCUACAGACUAGGAUGCGAGAGAGGAGGAGAAGAAGAAGUUUCAUAUGUAAAUUAGCAUAACAAAUCUAACCCAAAGGAAUAUAAGGCUUUUGGAUAUCCUUUUUAUCAACGUCAACAUCUUGAAGAACCGUCGAAGUUGCUCCGGCAGGUAAGCUUCUUCCUCUUUAGUCUUCUAUACACGUUAAAACAUCCACCGCAAUGUAGUUUAGAGGGAGGGGAAUCGAAGCCCUCUAAUUGCUGGCUUGGAUUCCCCUUCGGUGGUGUUUAAUUUCAUAUUCUACACCAUAGGGUUCUUCGACCAUUAGCUCGAUUU